GUAGUUUAGCUUAGCGGAAGAUAUUGGUACCCCUCUUUUGCUUCGACUGAGGGGACACUCUCCUCAUCUCUCAUGGAUCCCUCCCGACACUUCAGAUCUCUCUCCCAGCGGCGUCCCUCCUCUCUCCAUCUGUGGUCUUGGUGCCCAUCAUCGCCAUACCUACAUCAAAGAAGCUACUCCGAUGGCUGGAUGUGGAGAGGAGUUUGAGGUUGGAGAGCACGACACGUGAUGGGACUCAUCCUUGAGUCAUGCCAUCACAACCUGGAGGGCAAUGGAAGCCCCUACCAACAAAGAGCGACAUGGUCUGUCGGAUGACGGCACCAAGAGUGGGAGGUCGCGACAUUAUUUUAGUUUUUUUUUUGCAUGUUGUGGAUGAGCACAAUGAACAGUACGUCUACAAUCAAACUUGGGUAAACAUGACGACACGAAGUAGACUGACUAGGAGGAGUUGUUGUGGAGCAUCGACCGUUACAAAGCCAGUCAUGUCAACAUACCCAUACGAUGUCUUUGGAAUUUUAUCUGCUGCCAGAAGACCAUACGAUGUCCUUGGAAUUUUAUCUGCUGCCAGAAGACCAUACGGAAUGGUCUUCUCUUGGUUGAUUGGCUAUUUCUUGACUUCCAAAGACCAAACACUUGAGGAGGACGUGGAACACUACGGGAAGCACAUAAAUACUCCAACUAUAUCCUAACUAGGUAGGAUAUAUGGAAAGCAACAUUCAGGAACACAAGCAUUGAAAGAAAUCUUCAAUAUAUGCCAUCUCAAAUUCAUAUUUGUAAUACUUUCCAGAAA